rnacentral:tRNA from 1 species
AGUCGUAUGUUCUAAUGGUUAUGAUUUCGCGUUCACAUUGACCAGUUCAAAGUUCCGUGAAGGUUCCGUGUUCGAUCCACGGUACGACUA